UACGGAGGGUGCGAGCGUUGUUCGGAAUCACUGGGCGUAAAGGGCGUGUAGGCGGUCUGCUAAGUCUGAUGUGAAAGCCCGGGGCUCACCCCCGGAAGGGCAUUGGAAACUGGCGGACUCGAGUCCCGGAGAGGAGAGUGGAAUUCCUGGUGUAGCGGUGAAAUGCGUAGAUAUCAGGAGGAACACCGGUGGCGAAGGCGGCUCUCUGGACGGUGACUGACGCUGAGACGCGAAAGCCAGGGGAGCAAACGGG
rnacentral:rRNA from 1 species